CAAAUUGCGAGGAAGGGAAGCAGUAUCCGGUGGGCAGCGGCCAAGAGAGAGAACGGUUGGUGUGAGUUCUCCCAAAGCCGCCGGAGAAGUCGUCCCGGAGCACCGGAGCCGAAGCAUCAGUAAGCCCCGGCGGAGGCCCACCGUUGACAGGGCAGGCGCAAAUGCGCCGCAGAGUGCGGGUUUUCCCGAAUCCAGGUGGUACCACGGACAUUUGUUCGCCCUGAGC
rnacentral:ncRNA from 1 species